rnacentral:tRNA from 1 species
GCUGUGGCUCAGUGGUAGAGCACUCGCCUAGCAUGUGUGAGGUACAGGGUUUAAUCCUCAGCAAAACG